GCUUACGGCCAUACCACCCUGAACACCCCGAUCUCGUCUGAUCUCGGAAGCUAACAGGGUCGGGCCUGGUCAGUACUUGGAUGGGAGACCGCCUGGGAAUACCAGGUGCUGUAAGCU
rnacentral:rRNA from 1 species